AACGAACGCUGGCGGCAUGCCUAACACAUGCAAGUCGAACGAGACCUUCGGGGCUAGUGGCGCACGGGUGCGUAACGCGUGGGAACCUGCCCUUAGGUUCGGAAUAACUCCCCGAAAGGGGUGCUAAUACCGGAUAAUGUCUUCGGACCAAAGAUUUAUCGCCUUUGGAUGGGCCCGCGUUGGAUUAGCUAGUUGGUAGGGUAAAAGCCUACCAAGGCGACGAUCCAUAGCUGGUCUGAGAGGAUGAUCAGCCACACUGGGACUGAGACACGGCCCAGACUCCUACGGGAGGCAGCAGUGGGGAAUAUUGGACCAUGGGCGAAAGCCUGAUCCAGCAAUGCCGCGUGAGUGAUGAAGGCCUUAGGGUUGUAAAGCUCUUUUACCCGGGAUGAUAAUGACAGUACCGGGAGAAUAAGCUCCGGCUAACUCCGUG
rnacentral:rRNA from 1 species